UUUAGUUAGUAUAUUAGCCCGGGCUAUAGUCAGGUUCAGUGCGAGAUUUGCCCUUUUGGUACUGUCGCCUGGUUUGUUGGAUAUUCGGUUUUUGACUUUUGCCUGUGUUUUGGACUUUGAUCUACCUUGCCCUAUUUUGUUAUGAUCGCCUUCUGUGUUUUGUUGCUGACUUUGGAACUGACCCAUGCCUGUGUACUGACGACGAUAUCUCUGUCUGAAUCCCCAAGUAAAGCUUCUUCACUGUUUUA